rnacentral:tRNA from 1 species
ACAGAAAUUUAGGUUAACACCAAACCAAGGACCUUCAAAGCCCUAAAUAGAGAAUAAACCUCCCUAAUUUCU